AAAUAUUUUGAUUCUAAGGUUGUUAACCAUAGAAAGUAGUUAAAGAUUUAUUUCUUUUCACAUUCCACCGCUUUAAGUACACAUCUACUGGGUGUUUAUUAACUAAUGACCCAUACGCUUUGGAUAAAUACAGUUAGUUUAUACCGCCUUUAAGUUGCAAACAAACUUUGGCGCUAUGAAAUAAAAGCCUUUGCUGAAGUUUUACCUUCAGCUUGCCCUUAUUACCGUUAACCUAGAGCUGAAUUAAUUCACUCAGUAGGUCUAUACCAUCGUCUAUAUAAGACCAAAACCACCAGUCGAGCUCAGUUCCAUUUAAUAUAACAACAAAGAUGUUGAUGCUUAAAUUGUUUACUCUAACACUAUUAAUAAUCGCAACUACCGCCGUGCCCUUUUGGACUAAUAACAACAACUUGGGUCUUCAUCGUUACGGCAGUUAUGGUUGGAGGAAUGGUGGAUGGAAUGGAAAAUUGUUUAAUAAUGGACUACAAUUGAACAACAAUUACGGAUGGGGUUGGCGACAUGGUUAAUUUACUGACAUUUUUACAUACGCAUAUUGUAAUACUAAUGUUAAAUUAAAUAAUCCUUCUGCAUUUGCGUCUUUUUUGUUAACAAAAGUGUAGGUGAUUCAUUAUAUAAUUUAUAAUUUUUCUACUUAUAAUGAAUAACAGGAUUAUUAAAAUAAUCGUACAAUGAUAUGGGAUUACCAUUAAAUUGGGGAACUGUAGGUAAUGAUUUAAAUUACCUAUAGAAGUUAUAUAAAAAGGUAGACAUAGCGCGAAUGUUAUAUUUUUGCAAGAAUGUUAAAGGAAAUGUUUUUUUUAUUAUUGGCAUGCGUCGUGCUGAACGUCUCAUCGAAGCCACAGAUAGGAUUUACCAAUGGUCAUUGGGAUGGUAAUCGGUAUUAUUACCCAAAUGGUACAGCCGGUUCGUUGUGGCCAAAUCCUCACCAGCCAAGUGCCCCGACGAGCCCUUGGUCAUGGAAUGGCCCUUGGUAUUGGGGUCCUAACGGAUGGACACGCUAUCCGGAUUGGAAUGAUAAAUCGUGGUGGUGGUGGCAUCUAAGAAAUCAUAGAAAAUAGAGCGCUCUAAAAAGCAAUAUUCCGCAAUAUUGACCAUGUUAUAAAACUUUAGCCUUAAGACAAGAUGAGCUAUUCAAAUUCAAAAAUAUUUAUUGUAUAUUUUGUAUAUGUUAUGCAAGGUGCAUUUUUAUUUUCUCUAGGGGUGCAUAACCUGUUGAG